ACUUUCCCUUCUUUCUCACUCUUCUUUUUUGCUCUUUCCUCUCUCUUGAUUCAGUGAGCAUAACAAAUUCAAUCUUUCAGUGGAGCGAUCAAUCCAUUUCUUGGGGGAUUUUGCUAAUUACAGCCACUGGGUUUGGUUUUUUUAUCUUUCUGUCAGAUCAAGUAUCUCCGUCGAUGGCAAUGAUAUUGAAAAGAAGACAAAACUAACUAACCUUAGAAAGAGCCAAAUGGUAAAAUAAGAUUCUUGUGUAGCCACUUUGAAGCAUUUUGUGAAAGCCACUUUGAAGUUAUAAUUGAGAUGAAAUUUUGUUGAGUUGAGUUGUGCUAAAACCUUUGUGAAGCCACUUUGAAGCAUUUUGUGUCUUGAUUUUUGGUUACGUGUGUUUCCAUUUAACCCUUGACUCAGUGUUGUCCAAUGGCUGCUAUUGGAGCCAUAGAAGCCUCACCAACUGCAUGUUCUUAUCAUGUGUUCUUGAGUUUUAGAGGUGAAGACACCUAGAAUAUCUUCACUGAUCACGUUUACACAGCGCUACAAUGUGCAAGAAUACGCACGUGUAGGGAUGAUGAAGGACUAGAGAGAGGUCAGAAUAUCGAUUUAGAACUAAAUAAGGCAAUCCAAGAGUCGAUGAUUUCAAUAAUUAUCUUCUCAAAAGACUGUACAUCUUCAAGAUGAUGAGCUUCUGAAUAUCCUUGAGCACAAGAAGACUGUUGGUCAUAUGAUUCUGCCCGUCUUCUAUCACGUGGAUCCAUCAAAUGUAAGAGAGCAGACAGGGAGUUUUGCAAAUGCUUUUACUACACACGAACAGCGAGUUAAGGCAGAGAAAGUAGAAAUAAAAGGAGUGGUUGGACAAGAUAAAGAGAUGGAAGGCAGCUCUUAGAGAAGUAGCAGAUUUGGCAGGGAUGGUUUUAAUAGAUGGGUAAUUUCCUUGAAGAGUUAAUAGUAUUGAUUGAAUACUUCCAAAUUAUUUAUGCCAUUAGAUGCUAAUAGUACCCAUUAUCCACAUGAUUUCUUAAUGCUAAUGUUUUAAACUA